GGAGAAGGGAGGGCCAUCUUGGGUGAUGAGGCUCGGAGCAAGAGAUGACUUCUGCUCCAAGCUUGGCUAGAGGAGUUACAACCACGGACAGAGCUCCUCAGGCCUGCCAGGGGUCAAGGAGAAAAGGGCUUUGAGUGAGAGCUGCAGCCACCAAGGGUCCUCACUGCUGCCAGAGCCAUGCAGUCUCCAUUGCAUAGAUGUAAUAUCUUCUACCCCCACCCCUGGGGGGCAGGAAUCAAUGGAUGGAAAAUUUGGCUGUUUCCAUGUAAACCUUCUUAAGGAAGGAGCAGCAAUGACUAUACAGCUCCUGCCAUCUCAGCUCCUGUGUGCUAGGUGCUAAGGGUGGGAUUUGCUGGCCACCAAAAGUGCCCCCAGUAGCAAGCUGGACUAGUAAGACAACAGCAGCAAGCUGGCCCACGGAUCUAAUGCAGUCCCUGAAAGGAAGUGUCUGUGAGUCGUGUGGGUACAGAUGACUGAAAUACACACAUUUGCAGAGGAAGAACAAGUGUCCCUUGCAGAGGAAGGACAAGUGUCCCGUGCAGAAGUUCAAGUGACUUGUGUAAGCACGGUGCUCUCCCUGGUCAUCAGACACUCCUUCCAAAGGCAGCAGAAGGCAAGUGGGAGAGGAGACUCAUUCACUGCAGACAGAAAUCCGACAAGCUGGUUUCAUUCGGUAAUAGGAAUGCCCUUGGACAGGUGGUGUUGCCGCGAGGUGGGAGGGGGCACUUACCUCUGUCUUUCCCUCUCCGAGCCACGGCUCAUUAGUGGCUCUCCCACAAUCCCCUACUUUCUUGUCUUUGAGAACCUGGGCUUAUUUUCCAGGCUCCUCACCUGUCUCCUAUGGUUUCCAUCUCCCUAUGCUUCUCUUGGUUUGUAUUUCUGCAGCCCAGUCCACCAACUUGAGCAUCAUCUUCUGCUCCUAUUCUUUCUAUCUUCAGGAACGAAGUCUGAAACACAUGUGACUCUCCUCAGAUACUUAUCGCAGUCACCCCUUUGGUCCAGCUUCUCCUCUGGGUCCUCCACAAGCUCCGAGCACCUCUGGUUGUUACUGUUUUCUUUUCAUUUCGCCCCUGGUCCAUGCCACUGUCUUUCCUUGGGUGACUGUGAUCCAGAAUUGUUUAUCACACCGACUGCCAACAGCUGCUGUGUAGGUGGCAAAGGCCAGGUGGUAGCUAGCCCUUCUCAACCAUGACUGGUACAGAGCAGGCAUGGUACAGUCUUGGGUUCCCUAGGUUGCUGUAUUGUCUAGCUUUUUUACUGUUGCCCCAAGAUCCAGGCAGGAAGGACUUGGCCAUCAUGAAGCAAGCAAAAGAGUGAGUGACCUGAGGCCACAGCAGACCUCCCAUGGCCAUACUCCAUACAGGCACGUACAUGUCACACAGGAGGCCAGAAGGCACGUGCAUGUCACACAGGAGGCCAGAAGGCACGUGCAUGUCACACAGGAGGCCAGAAGGCACGUGCAUGUCACACAGGAGGCCAGAAGGCACGUGCAUGUCACACAGGAGGCCAGAAGGCACGUGCAUGUCACACAGGAGGCCGGAAGGCACGUGCAUGUCACACAGGAGGCCGGAAGGCGCGUGCAUGUCACACAGGAGGCCAGAAGGCACGUGCAUGUCACACAGGAGGCCAGAAGGCACGUGCAUGUCACACAGGAGGCCAGAAGGCGCGUGCAUGUCACACAGGAGGCCAGAAGGCACGUGCAUGUCACACAGGAGGCCAGAAGGCACGUGCAUGUCACACAGGAGGCCAGAAGGCUCGUGCAUGUGAAGGCCCAUGCUAUCAGUCUCUCACAUUCUCUGGAAGCAGAUGUGUCUUACUUGCUUCACACGCUAGCCAGUUCUGUUCCACAAGCCACAAAUCCUUUUCAAGGUGACAGAAACCAACAACUUUCUCUCUUAUAGCAGGAAACUGUCAGGAACCACCAAGGCCUCCAAACAGCUGAGAGAGAGACUGGGGACUCAUUCAGUGCUCCCCACCUCAUCACUGACUCCUGGUGUCAAGGAGAAGCCAGAGAUGCCCAGAGAAGAGCAACUGUCAUAACACUGUGUGUAGCCUUGAGCCUAACUCCGUGAACCUUUCUUCUCUUCCAGCUGGCCCUUCAACCUGCCCAUGCAGCAGGGCCUCCUUCAGCCAUGUUCCCAUUUAACUCUGAGCCCAGCAGGCACAAGCAUCAAACGUUGUCCUGAGUCAGUUCCCUGAUUCCUGGGUAAAUGGUGGUUGUCAUUUUUAAACUUUUAAAAGUCACAUUUAUUU
rnacentral:lncRNA from 1 species